UACGGGGGGGGCAAGCGUUGUUCGGAAUUACUGGGCGUAAAGGGUUCGUAGGUGGCCAACUAAGUCAGACGUGAAAUCCCUCAGCUUAACUGGGGAACUGCGUCUGAGACUGGAUGGCUUGAGUGCAGGAGAGGAACGCGGAAUUCCAGGUGUAGCGGUGAAAUGCGUAGAUAUCUGGAGGAACACCGGUGGCGAAGGCGGCAUCCUGGACCGGCAUUGACGCUGAGGCGCGAAAGCUAGGGGAGCAAACGGG
rnacentral:rRNA from 1 species